rnacentral:tRNA from 1 species
GUUUUAAUAGUUUAACGCCUAAAACCUUGGUCUUGUAAACCAAUAAUGAAUUUUUAUUCUUGAAACAC